rnacentral:rRNA from 1 species
GGAAAAGAAACCAACAGGGAUUGCCUUAGUAACGGCGAGUGAAGCGGCAAAAGCUCAAAUUUGAAAUCUGGCACCUUCGGUGUCCGAGUUGUAAUUUGAAGAAGGUAACUUUGGAGUUGGCUCUUGUCUAUGUUCCUUGGAACAGGACGUCACAGAGGGUGAGAAUCCCGUGCGAUGAGAUGCCCAAUUCUAUGUAAAGUGCUUUCGAAGAGUCGAGUUGUUUGGGAAUGCAGCUCUAAGUGGGUGGUAAAUUCCAUCUAAAGCUAAAUAUUGGCGAGAGACCGAUAGCGAACAAGUACAGUGAUGGAAAGAUGAAAAGAACUUUGAAAAGAGAGUGAAAAAGUACGUGAAAUUGUUGAAAGGGAAGGGCUUGAGAUCAGACUUGGUAUUUUGCGAUCCUUUCCUUCUUGGUUGGGUUCCUCGCAGCUUACUGGGCCAGCAUCGGUUUGGAUGGUAGGAUAAUGACUAAGGAAUGUGGCUCUACUUCGGUGGAGUGUUAUAGCCUUGGUUGAUACUGCCUGUCUAGACCGAGGACUGCGUCUUUGA